rnacentral:rRNA from 1 species
GACGAAGGGGGCUAGCGUUGUUCGGAAUUACUGGGCGUAAAGCGCGUGUAGGCGGUUGUCCGAGUUGGAUGUGAAAGCCUUGAGCUUAACUCAAGAAAUGCAUUCAGGACUGGAUGACUAGAGGACCGGAGAGGAUAGUGGAAUUCCCAGUGUAGUGGUGAAAUACGUAGAGAUUGGGAAGAACACCAGUGGCGAAGGCGGCUAUCUGGACGGUUUCUGACGCUAAGACGCGAAAGCGUGGGGAGCAAACAGG